rnacentral:rRNA from 1 species
AUUGAACGCUGGCGGCAUGCUUUACACAUGCAAGUCGAACGGUAACAGGCCUUCGGGUGCUGACGAGUGGCGAACGGGUGAGUAAUGCAUCGGAACGUACCCAGAGGUGGGGGAUAACGCAGCGAAAGCUGUGCUAAUACCGCAUGUGAUCUGAGGAUGAAAGCGGGGGACCGAGCAGCAAUGUUUGGCCUCGCGCCUUUGGAGCGGCCGAUGUCGGAUUAGCUAGUUGGUGGGGUAAAGGCCUACCAAGGCGACGAGCCGUAGCUGGUCUGAGAGGACGACCAGCCACACUGGGACUGAGACACGGCCCAGACUCCUACGGGAGGCAGCAGUGGGGAAUUUUGGACAAUGGGCGCAAGCCUGAUCCAGCAAUGCCGCGUGCGGGAAGAAGGCCUUCGGGUUGUAAACCGCUUUUGGCAGGAACGAAACGGUGUCCGCUAAUACCGGGCGCUAAUGACGGUACCUGCAGAAUAAGCACCGGCUAACUACGUG